CUUAAAUUUCUCAACUCUCAAGACCUUCGAACUCCACUAUUAAACCUUGAUCUUCAAGAACUAAAGGGUUUCAAGAUUUGUUAGAACCCUUGUGUAAGAGCUCACCAAGGUGUUGUUGGAACAAAUUUAGUUUUCAUAGAAGUCGAGCUUUCGACGAAAGGCAUUAAGAGGAAAGGCAUGCUUCCAUGACGUGGGUAGAUACGACAUUUUUAAUUAUUUCGAUGUAAUUAAGCAUGUUUAUUCUACAACCUCACUUUAAAACGUAUUUUGUUAAAUUUUGUGAUGUGAACAAAGGUUUCAAGUUUGUUUUAUGAAGGUUAUG